UACGUAGGGCGCAAGCGUUGUCCGGAAUUAUUGGGCGUAAAGAGCUCGUAGGCGGCUUGUCACGUCGGGGUGUGAAAAGCCCGGGGGCUUAACCCCCGGGUCUGCAUUCGAUACGGGCAGGCUAGAGUUCGGUAGGGGGAGAUCGGAAUUCCUGGUGUAGCGGUGAAAUGCGCAGAUAUCAGGAGGAACACCGGUGGCGAAGGCGGAUCUCUGGGCCGAUACUGACGCUGAGGAGCGAAAGUGUGGGAGGCGAACAGG
rnacentral:rRNA from 1 species